CAGUUCUUGGUGGCAUUAAAUCAGAUGGUGUAUAAGAGUAUUUUGCAAAAACUGUAAAGGAGGAUGUGGCUGUAGGGGCUGGUAGUUCUCAUGAGUAUUACUGCUCUUCUUUCCCACAGCUAAAAGAAUAUCAGCAGAGGAGCAGCCCUGGUGUUCCGGCAGGAGCAAAGACGAAAAAGAAAACUACUGGCCGUAGCCCUGAGACAACCACUUCUGGUGGUUGCCACUCACCUGGGGAUAGCCGGUACCAAGAACUGGAAGUAGCCCUGGACUCAAGCUCCGCAACAAUCAAUCAACUCAAUGAAAACAUAGAAUCAUUG